CUCACCUUGAAUAUGUACAAAUAAGUACAAAUGUCAUUUUAUUACACGUUUUGUCAAAUCACUUGUACUGCGUUAACUUCACAUAUAUGACACGUCCUUAGGUCAAAGGUGUAUUAAGACCGACCGGAAAAGACUGUCACGUGAUACAGACACCGGAAGUAACUAUUCUUGGCGCCUUUGUUGAUAAUUAGCAAAACUACCAUCAUGCAUGGAUUUUUGGUUGCGUCUAGUUAUUGUUGCUUUUGGAUGUGUCAAAUUAAAUAUUCAAUUUAAUUACAGUUAUGCUUUAAUUGAUAAUAUAUAACUACUGGAUACAAUGUGGAGAUGCUCUUUAAUACACAUUUUAAUAUGUUUGAGGGACUACUCAAUGUUUUCUUCUACAGUUGUUGACAUUUUCUUCCCCCCCAUCUUACAGUUGUGUGAGUUGCCUGGAGGAAGGGUCACUUAAGGUAGAGCAAGACCACCUAUUUCCGACAGAUCCAAGGGCACAAAGGAUGGAGAGGAGGAGGGCGAUCAACAAUCACUUGUGAAAGGAUGGCGAGGAGGAGGGCGAUCAACAAUCACCUGUGAAAGGAUGGCGAGGAGGAGGGCAAUCAACAAUCACUUCAUUGGAACAAAACAUCAGCAGCAAAUAUCUCACUUAAAGGGCGCCACAGCUUUCCCUUCAGUCUACCCUGUUCACACGUUCAUUUCAUCUGGUAUUGACUAUUGCGAUUGUCUCUUCACUCUUUUCAACAAGUCAACUAAAGAGACUUCAGACGCUACAAAAUGCAGCUGCCAGACUUUAGACCGGUGCACCCAGAACAGUCCAUGUCACCCCCUUUUGAUCCAGUCUUCAUUGGCUUCAAGGCACAUUCAGUUGAAGCUUUUAGUUCUGACUUUCCAUGCAUUGCAGUACAUCACUGACUUGUUAUGUCCCUACUCUUCAGUUGCAUGGUGAGUUCCCUCAGUACAUCACUGACUUAUUAUGCCCCUACUCUUCAGUUGCAUGGUGGGGCCCCUCAGUACAUCACUGACUUAUUAUGUCCCUACUCUUCAGUUGCAUGGUGGGGCCCCUCAGUACAUCACUGACUUAUUAUGCCCCUACUCUUCAGUUGCAUGGUGGAGCCCCUCAGUACAUCACUGACUUGUUAUGCCCCUACUCUUCAGUUGCAUAGUGGGGCCCCUGAGUACAUCAUUGACUUUUUAUGCCCAUACUCUCCAGUUCCAUGGUGGGGCCCCUCACUAUUUUACUGACUUGUUAUGCCCCUACUCUUCAGCUGCAUUGUGGGGCCCCUCAGUACAUCACUGACUUGUUAUGUCCCUACUCUUCAGUUGCAUAGUGGGGCCCCUCAGUACAUCACUGACUGUUUAUGCCCCUACUCUUCAGUUGCUGUGAUCUUGACUGUGUUGACACUUUUAAGAAACAUUUUAGUUAAUGCACCUUUUAACUACCAUUUUUAAUCCCCUUUGUAUUCCUUUUAUGAUGUUGUUGAUUUAAUUGAAUUGUUGUUUUACUUCACCUAUGUUUUGUACAGCGCUUUGUCAUUUGAUCUGUGCAAUGCGCUUUAUAAAUAAAAUGUA